CACACACUCCCGCACAGUAGGUGGCGGCAUGCACGAAAAUUUUGCAAACGCAAUGAUACCAAAGAAGGACCUUAGUAGGGUAGCCAGCUAGCUAAUGUCAACUUUAUAAAGUUUAGCUACAUAGCUUGCUAGUUCCCUACGCGUUUAUCUAAAUAUCUGUAGUUUUUAUUGAUAAACUGUCUAGCCACGUUGUUAAAGAUAAUGUCAAAUUGCUGCUGACAACUUCGUGAUAGUUGACCAACUUAUUUGGCUAUCAGCUUUACUCCAGCUAGGUCGCUUGCAUUCUAACUGACAAGCUAGCUAGCAAAGCUACUCGCUAAUUUAGCUGGCCAAAGAGCUCUGCCCUGCAAGUUACUCCUCAGCUGCCAUGGCCUCUUCGGAGUUUCGGGGUGACGUUUCCCAGGUGCGCAGCGGCCGUGACACCAUCUUCUCUGAGGCCAUCAACCAGAAGAUGCGUGUCCCCGACCGGCUGAGAGUGGGGCCAGGCAUGGGACAGAGAUGGGAAGAGGAGAGGCAGGAGUGUGCUGACUGUCCCGCUUCUUACAGCAUGCACAUCCCAGACAGGCUGUCUCUCACAGAUGCCCCGGACAUGAGCCCCCAUCCACUGUUCACGUCAUCCAAGCAAGGCUCAGCCCUCCCUCUGGGGCCUGCAUGGGAGGCACAGCAGCACAGUGCCUGGAACAGAGAAAGAGACCCCUACAUGAGGGAACCAGUGCAGAGUCCACUGCGUAGGUCCUACAGUGACCAGGCUUUUGGCAGGAGCAACCCUGGCACCCCCACCUGCAAACAGACACCGCACACCCCUAUCUCUGCCAUGCGGGACUCCUGGAUGAGCCCAGAUGAGGGAUGUGCAGCUGUGGAGUUCAUCGUACUUAGGAGACAGGUAAGCAGGCUAAUAACCCCUCUCGUGGGUGAAAAGAGACAAUAAUGAGCUACUUUCGCCUUCCAUUGAACGUCUGAAUGACACUGUCUGAUUGACACCUGCAUGUGAACUAGUCUACCUUAUAGGAUAAUGCAAAAUCAAUCAAAUAUAAAUUGAUGUGGAAAGUUAAGGGGAAGCUAUAGAGACAGCUGUGAUAUAGGCCUAGGCUAUAUGAAGAUGAAAUUGACAACCAUUUGAAAAUAGAAGACAGGCUAUGGACAGAUUGAGUGCAUAUCAGCCAUUGAUACAUUUUAGUGAAGCAGUCGGUGGUUAUGUUGACACUGGGCCUUCAUUUUUAUUUGAUGAAUUAUUUUAUCUAAGAGUAGCCUAUACUCUGGCGGAUAUUUCAGUUUUUUUGUCUUUCGCGCAUCUCGACAGACAACUUGCCUAUCUCUUCCCCCUCUCUCUUAAACGAGUAGCAUAUAAACUCAGCAAAAAAAGAAACAUCCCUUUUUCAGGACCCUGUCUUUUAACAGAUCAUUAGUAAAAAUCCAAAUAACUUCACAGAUCUUCAUUGUAAACACUGUUUCCCAUGCUUGUUCAAUAAUGAACUAUAAACAAUUAAUGAACAUGCACCUGUGGAACAGUCGUUAAGACACUAACAGCUUACAGACAGUAGGCAAUGAAGGUCACAGUUAUGAAAACUUAGGACACAGAGGCCUUUCUACGGACUCUGAAAAACACCAAAAGAAAGAUGCCCAGGGUCCCUGCUCAUCUGCGUGAACGUGCCUUAGGCAUGCUGCAUGAGGACUGCAGAUGUGGCCAGGGCAAUAAAUUGCAAUGUCCGUACUGUGAGACGCCUGAGACAGGAUGGACAGUUCAUCGUCCUCGCAGUGGCAGACCACGUGUAACAACACCUGCACAGGAUCAGUACAUCCGAACAUCACACCUGCGGGACAGGAUGGCAACAACAACUGCCCGAGUUACACCAGGAACGCACAAUCCUUCCAUCAGUGUUCAGACUGUCAAUAGGCUGAGAGAGGCUGGACUGAGGGUUGUAGGCCUGUUGUAAGGCAGGUCCUCACCAGACAUCACCGGCAACAACGUCGCCUAUGGGCAUAAACCCAUGGACCAGACAGGACUGGCAAAAAGUGCUCUUCAUUGACUAGUCGCAGUUUUGUCUCACCGGGGGUGAUGGUCGGAUUCAUACUUAUCGUUGAAGGAAUGAGCGUUACACUGAGGCCUGUACUCUGGAGCAGGACCGAUUUGGAGGUGGUGGGUCCGUCAUGGUCUAGGGGCUUUGUGUCACAGCAUCAUCAGACUGAGCUUGUUGUCAUUGCAGGCAAUCUCAACGCUGUGCAUUACAGGGAAGACAUCCUCCUCCCUCAUGAGCUACCCUUCCUGCAGGCUCAUCCUGACAUGACCUUCCAGCAUGACAAUACCACCAGCCAUACUGCUCGUUCUGUGCGUGAUUUCCUGCAAGACAGGAAUGUCAAUGUUCUGCCAUGGCUAGCGAAGAACCCGGAUCUCAAUCCCAUUGAGCACGUCUGGGACCUGUUGGAUCGGAGGGUGAGGGCUAGGUCCCCCCCCCCCCGAAAUGUCCGGGAAGUUGCUGGUGCCUUAGUGGAAGAGUGGGGUAACAUCUCACAGCAAGAACUGGCAAAUCUGGUGCAGUCCACUACAGUACUCAAUGCAGCU
ensembl:lncRNA